rnacentral:misc_RNA from 1 species
UUGUUGAUAGCCUGCACCACUGCCUGUUUCACCACUUGAGCAUCUAAGCUAUCAGCUUCCCCUUGGUAUUCUCCUCCUACUGCUUCCAGUUGAAAAUUAUCUUCGCAUGAAACCCUAGCAUCAAGCACAUCAAGGCCCACUUCUUCGAAGGCUUCCAGUAUGGAAACAAGUAAACCAGGGCAAUUCUUCUCUGACAAAACAUUAAUAAGGAAACCCUUUUCUAGGGUUUCCACUGUAACCUGCAUAGGUAAUUGAUUUUGGGAAGUUGCAGAUGCCUGAGAAGUUCCUACCUCUUGGUUCAGCCUUUCCACUUUUUCCUUCAACUCUUCUAUAUAUUUAGAUGCAUCUACAAUGAUUGAAGUUUUAUUCAUGGCAGUAGAGUUGGUAACGUCACGGAGCUUGUCAUAUCGAGCAGCCUUCUUUUGCUUCCCAGAGGCCAUGUUUGAUGUUUGUGACUCUUAUCUUUAGCUAUAUCCCAGCUGCCUUUCUUUGCCCUUAAUUUCUAAACGCAAGUGUACAAAAGGGUUUUAUAAAGCCAGAGGCUGAC